AUGGGGAGAUCGGGAAUUCUGGCGGUCUCGGGGCCCAAGGGCUCCGUUUGCGCUCUGUCACCCCCGCCCUGCCCCGUCCCGGUGCCCCAGUUCCCGCCAUCCAGGGGCUGCAUCCGCAUCCAGCCCCGGCAGCAGCUGCGCUCCCGUAAUCCCUCGACGCUGCAGAUGGGAUUUAUCCCGCUCCGUGCAGGCGGAUCGGCGCUCCCGGAUGGAUCCCGGGAUGGCCUGGCCAGGGCCAGCUCAGGCCUUGGGAUGGGGGUGGCAGGAACCCGCUGUUCCUCUUUUCCUGUCCCUUUUCCUGUCCCUGUCUUCCUUUUCCUUUUCCAUCCCUUUCCAAUCCCUUUCCAAUCCCUUUCCCUUUCCUUCUCUUUCUUCCUUUCCCUUUCUCUUUCUUCUUUCUCAUUUUUCUCUUUUCCUCCUUUUCCUCCUUUUUCUCCUUUUCCUUUUCUGUUCCUUCUCCUUUUCCUCCUUUCCCUUUGUCUUCCCCUUUCCUUAUCUUUUUUCUUUCCCUUUCUCUUUUUCCUUUUCUUCCUUUUCUUCUUUCUUUCUUUUUCCUUUCCAUCCUUUUCCGUGUCCUUUCCCCUUUUCCAAUUCCCUUUUCCUUUUCUUUCUUACUUUCCCUUUUUCUGUUUUUCAUUUUCCUCCUUUCCCUCUUUUCCCUUUCUCUUUUUCCCUUCCCCCUUUUCUCUUUCCUUUCCACUUCCCUCUUUUCCCUCUCCCUUUUCCUUUCCCUUUCCCAGGAAACCUGGGAGCAGACAGGAGCAGAGGCUGCCCGGGAGACUCCAAACCCUUCCCUGGGACUCGGAGCAUUCCUGGGACAGGCCCUGGGCCCCUUUUCCAAGGCCUAUCCCAGACCAGUCCCUCAAACCCUUGGGAAUGCCGAGAGCAGCUCAUCCGGCCCCUGUCCCUAAUCCCGACCCUGUGUCCCCCUCGCUGCCACCCUGGGGGGGACAAGGAUUGAGCUGGAGCGAGGGGAAAACCGGGAUCGCGGGAUCUCCUCCAGGGAGGGGCUGCCAUGGGAUCGUCUCUGUGGGAGACAGGGAGGGAUGGAAUCGGCAGAGAGGGAAUCAACGGAGAGGGAAUCGAUGGAGAGGGAAUUGA
rnacentral:lncRNA from 13 species